rnacentral:rRNA from 1 species
UAAUACAUGCAAGUCGACGCUUUUCCUUUCACCGGAGCUUGCUCCACCGAAAGAAAAGGAGUGGCGAACGGGUGAGUAACACGUGGGUAACCUGCCCAUCAGAAGGGGAUAACACUUGGAAACAGGUGCUAAUACCGUAUAACAAUCGAAACCGCAUGGUUUCGGUUUGAAAGGCGCUUUUGCGUCACUGAUGGAUGGACCCGCGGUGCAUUAGCUAGUUGGUGAGGUAACGGCUCACCAAGGCAACGAUGCAUAGCCGACCUGAGAGGGUGAUCGGCCACAUUGGGACUGAGACACGGCCCAAACUCCUACGGGAGGCAGCAGUAGGGAAUCUUCGGCAAUGGACGCAAGUCUGACCGAGCAACGCCGCGUGAGUGAAGAAGGUUUUCGGAUCGUAAAACUCUGUUGUUAGAGAAGAACAAGGAUGAGAGUAAAAUGUUCAUCCCUUGACGGUAUCUAACCAGAAAGCCACGGCUAACUACGUGCCAGCAGCCGCGGUAAUACGUAGGUGGCAAGCGUUGUCCGGAUUUAUUGGGCGUAAAGCGAGCGCAGGCGGUUUCUUAAGUCUGAUGUGAAAGCCCCCGGCUCAACCGGGGAGGGUCAUUGGAAACUGGGGAACUUGAGUGCAGAAGAGGAGAGUGGAAUUCCAUGUGUAGCGGUGAAAUGCGUAGAUAUAUGGAGGAACACCAGUGGCGAAGGCGGCUCUCUGGUCUGUAACUGACGCUGAGGCUCGAAAGCGUGGGG